AUUUUUUCGCCGAUCAUUGAUAGAAUCGGGAAAUGGAAGUAAUCACGAGGAUCGUGGAAGGAUUCUCUACAACUUCUAUGGAUCGAAAUCUCGUUUCGGAGGUUUUCGGGUUUUGGCGAAAAAUCGAGGUACUGAGAGUGUCCGACUCUAUAUCCAAGGGCGUGUGUUUAUCGCCUACCAUGUAGGUAAGAGUGUUCGGUUCUAUAUCCGAGGGCGUGAGCCUAUUCCGGUUGAUCAGGCCAAAGGGUGUGGAUCCACCAGUUAGCACCGGUACGAUGUCAUGGGAGUCGAGGACUAGACAUGUGCCGGUGGCGCUGUGCUUCAUGGGUUGGCUAAGGGCCAACGCCGGAAUGCCGAACCGGCUUCGGGCCAAUGAGUGUGACGACAUUGUGUAUUACUAAUCAUGUGUGUGUAUUGUGACGGGACUGCGUAUAAAUGACCGUCGUAUGCGUACAUGUAUGCACUGUGUGAAUUAGUAUUGGAUUGCAUUCAACUGUAUGUAUGUUGUAUCAUGAUC